GAACCAUACCGAGGACAUUUCCGCAGGAGAUCCUUCAACCUAUCCCAUAUCUCAUAAAGAGACUCUAAUUCCAUUUGCACAAAAGAGGAUAUUUUAUUCCUAAGCUU